ensembl:miRNA MIR7846 microRNA 7846
GCCCCGCCGCCUGGCCUCUGGCCCGCUGGGGCGCGGGCUUUCGCUUUCAGUCGAGGGCUAGCGAGCGCAGCGGAGCCUGGAGAGAAGGCGCUGGGC